rnacentral:rRNA from 1 species
GUUUGAUCAUGGCUCAGAUUGAACGCUGGCGGCAGGCCUAACACAUGCAAGUCGAACGGUAGCACAGAGAGCUUGCUCUCGGGUGACGAGUGGCGGACGGGUGAGUAAUGUCUGGGAAACUGCCUGAUGGAGGGGGAUAACUACUGGAAACGGUAGCUAAUACCGCAUAACGUCGCAAGACCAAAGAGGGGGACCUUCGGGCCUCUUGCCAUCAGAUGUGCCCAGAUGGGAUUAGCUAGUAGGUGGGGUAACGGCUCACCUAGGCGACGAUCCCUAGCUGGUCUGAGAGGAUGACCAGCCACACUGGAACUGAGACACGGUCCAGACUCCUACGGGAGGCAGCAGUGGGGAAUA